UCACGGCGGCACCGACAAUAGAGACGUAAAAAAAUCGAGUGGAGUGACUUAGCUCCGGAGGAGGAGCGAAUGAACAGCGGAACGUGUCAACGAGUCGUUUCGGGUCUUAUUUUCGUCGGAUUGUUUUCUCCGUGUUUGGAUACCUGCACUCGUCGCUUCGAAAAGAUUCAGCCCUUUUUAAAUAGGGUUUAUUAUGAACUCUCCUGCCUACCUCCGGUUCUGGCAUAAUUCAACCAACGUAAGUUAACGCUUUCAUUUGCAUGUUUUUAAUUACUUGUAAUCUCAUUAUAUUAAUGCAUAUUGCUGACUCAUUACCGAUUAACCAGACC
rnacentral:lncRNA from 1 species